CCUACGGGAGGCAGCAGUGGGGAAUAUUGGGCAAUGGGCGCAAGCCUGACCCAGCAACGCCGCGUGAAGGAAGAAGGCUCUCGGGUUGUAAACUUCUUUUAUCAGGGACGAAGCAAGUGACGGUACCUGAUGAAUAAGCCACGGCUAACUACGUGCCCGCAGCCGCAGUAAGACGUAGGUGGCAAGCGUUAUCCGGAUUUACGUGGUUGAAAGGGGGUGUAGGGGGGAAAGUAAGACAGCUGUGAAAACCAUGGGCUCAACCUGUGGCCUGCAUUUGAAACGGUUUUUCUUGAGUACUGGAGAGGCAGACGGAAUGCCUAGUGUAGCGGUGAAAGGCGUAGAUAUUAGGAGGAACACCAGUGUCGAAGGCGGUCUGCUGGACAGCAACUGACGCUGAUGCGCGAUAGCGUGGGGAGCAAACAGGAUUAGAUACCCGAGUAGUC
rnacentral:rRNA from 1 species